GUCUCCAAUCCCAGGGCUCUUCCCUUUCGACUCCGGAGUCUUCCCCUCAGCCUGACAUGGGAACAACCAUCUUAAAGUACAAACCUGCUAUCACGUAUUCAUAGAAAAGGGAUGGGUGUUCCCCCUCACUCAUCCCUCUACAGGUUUCCUUUCCCAAGGUCGAUUCUAACGCAGGGAGUGGUUCCCAGGUGGGACAGGAGGAUGAUGACGAUGAUAAUGGCUACCGUUCAUUGAGUGCACACCCAGGCACAAAGCUAAGUGACUUAUAAGCACUUCUUUUUCUCUCAAAUUAGUCCUUUAAACAAUCUUAUGAUUUAAAUAAUAUAACCAUCUCCAUUUACAGAUAAAAAAGCCGAAGCUCGGUUAAAUACCGUGCCCUGGAUCCCAAAGCUCAUAGCGGUCAACCUGGUAAUGCAAGCAAACCCACCAGGGUGCUCUUGACCUUGCCUUUGGCUUGGGACUUUCCUGUGACACUGCACAGCAGCCACCUUUCCUCGGGCUGCAACCUCCAAGCUGCCCAGCCAGUGGGCCAGAAGUCCUGCCUGACAAGAGCUGACUCUUAGAAAACACGAUUAGGUGCUGAGCACUCUUCUUUUCACCCUCACAUGUUAACCACGGUUCAAUGAUAUAUAAAGCAUUUCUCCCCCAUUUCACAGAUGGACAGCCUGAGAACACAGUCUGAAUGACUUGUCCAAGUGCACGGGAAAACCAGGCUCCAGAGUUCAUGAUCCAAGCACUGUACUCGUUGCUCUGCUUCAGAGAUGGCAAGAGCUAUCCCGCCUUCCCAGCGGCAGUUUUCAAACAUUUGAAAGAUGUUAGCUGGUGAGUCAAAUCUCCCUUUAUUCUUUCGGUUUUUCUCUCACUCUGAAAAUAUGUGUAUAUAUAUGCACACAUUACACUUGGAGGCAUAUUUUCUGAGAUGUAAAUAAGUAAGGAAAGUGUGUGGCGCUUGGAAUUCUGGUGCUUAGAAGAGACGGUAUGUGCUCUUGAUUCCAACACACAGUUAGCACAUUGUCACCUACCUCACACGCGAGCAUCUGUUCCGUUCAUCUGUAACCCACCUCUGCUACCCUCGUCUGCACUUACCCAUCUGAUCAACAAGGUGCUUGAGCUACCGUCCCGCUCCCACACUUGCUUGCGGAUGUUCCCAAGGCCAGCAAAUCAAAUCUGAGGCCAGGUUGCUACCUAUAUCCAAAGAAAGGUGUCCAUGUAUAUUUUGGGUCCAUUUUACAGCUGUUUGGUAUAACUAUUGUCAAGGAGAAAUGAGCAGGUUGGGUAUCAUAAAAUCAAAAACAGAAUAACAUUUGAAAUUGUAAUGUAUGUCUAUUUUUUAAAUUAUUUUUUAAGCACGAUAUUUUUUAUUAAAUUUUUUUUUUUAAUGUUUACUUAUUUUUGAAAGAGUGACAGAGUGCAAGCGAGGGAGGGGCAGAGAGGGAGACACAGAGUCCCAAGCAGGCUCCAGGCUCUGAGCUGUCAGCCCAGAGCCCAACGGGGGGCUGGAACUCAUGAACCAUGAGAUCACCUGAGCCAAAGUCGGGUGCUUAACCUACUGAACUACGCAGGCUCCCUUGUAUGCUUACUUUUAAAAAUUAGGAGAGUCCUAUUUUGAUUUGGGGACUGCUGUGCUGGUCUUGGAGUCUUCUCCCGCCAAGUCUGGGAGGAAAUCGGCUCUUUCACGUGGUGUUUUGGUCUUGGCCUUGGCACGCCUCGCUUCACUCCCCUCGCACACAGGCAGCGUCCUUUGCACAUGGCGGGGUUGUCCUGCGGAAAUAAAGCUAGUGUUGCGUGCUAAAUUCCA
ensembl:lncRNA